rnacentral:tRNA from 2 species
GAGAGAGGUCAACAAUAAGAACUGCUAAUUCCUAUAUCUGAGGCUAAUCCCUUGGCUCCCUC